rnacentral:lncRNA from 1 species
UGGGAACUCAGCCCUCUGUUGGAUACCAGCAUAUUAACUGAUUAUUCAUUGCAGUAAAAUCCAAGUACACAUUAUUGACAGUGUCUUCAUUCUAGUCAAAAACUGAUACAUAUUAUGACUACACAUCAUACAUCCUAGAGUUUUUAAUGAACAUUUCAUUUUUAAAAUAUCUUUUACAUAUAUCCCACACUAUUAAUCAUAUAUCACAAUCAAUGAACCAAUGUUGAUGAAUGAUUAUUAACUAAAGUUCAUAUUUCAUUCACUUUUUCUUAUUUUUUUUUUAAAUCUAAUUGCUGUUUCUCUUGCAAGAUUCCAUCCAAGACAUGACAUUUAUUUAAUUGUUAUCUCUCUCUCUCUCUCUCUCUCUCUCUCUCUCUCUCUCUCUCUCUCUCUAGAUGACAAUGGUAGUUUUGAUGAUGAUGGUCAAUAUUUUGUAAAAAUGUCCCCUAAUUUUUAUUUUUUGUAUGGUUGUCCUCAUGAUUACUUUGCAAUAAAGUGUUUUGGGGAGGUAAGAACCAUUUUCAUCAUAUCAUAUCAAUGGUACUAUCUAUGAAUAUGAUCUAUCAGGGUUGAUAUUAACCUUGAUCUUUCUUAAGGUGACAUUUGUCAAGUUACCCUAUUGUGAAAUUACUUUUUUUUGUCCUUUUCAUACUAUUGAGAAGUAAAUCACUAAACAAGCCUCUUACCUAGGGAGUGAAGAGUUAUGCUUCUGGAAGGUAAAGUAUGUACAUAAAUUAUGAUUCUUCUACAGGGUGAGUUGUGUGUGUGUGUAUGUGUGUGUGUGUCUUGUCUGAUAGGUAUUCAUUUUAUACUUUGGGUUAUAAUCCAAUGCUAUUUUUGCUUUAUUCUGCUGGUCAAAGUGCUUUAGAUUUGACCAUGGGGGACUCCUUUAGUUGUCUCCUAUACUCACUUUAUAUGCUGCCAUCCUGAAGGUAUGGAUUUGUUUAACUAUAGUCAUCAUUUAUUUUUAAAAAUUGUGUUUUAUGUGAAGUAGAAAGAUUUUGUAUAUAUAAUUAUAUACAAUUAUAUAUAUAUAUAUAUAUAUAUAUAUAUAUAUAUAUAUAUAUAUUAUAUAUCAUAUAUAUAAAAUCUUUCUAGAUAGUAUUAGAUUAUAACCCAAAGUGUCAAAUAAAUAUCUGAGUCAAUUUAAACAUACCCAAACAUAGACAAACAUAAACAAC